rnacentral:rRNA from 1 species
GACGAACGCUGGCGGCGUGCCUAAUACAUGCAAGUCGAACGAGAGCGACCGGUGCUUGCACUGGUCAAUCUAGUGGCGAACGGGUGAGUAACACGUGGGUAACCCGCCCAUCAGAGGGGGAUAACAUUCGGAAACGGAUGCUAAAACCGCAUAGGUCCUUUAACCGCAUGGUUGAAGGAGGAAAAGAGGCGCAAGCUUCUGCUGAUGGAUGGACCCGCGGUGCAUUAGCUAGUUGGUGAGGUAACGGCUCACCAAGGCCGUGAUGCAUAGCCGACCUGAGAGGGUGAUCGGCCACAUUGGGACUGAGACACGGCCCAAACUCCUACGGGAGGCAGCAGUAGGGAAUCUUCCGCAAUGGACGCAAGUCUGACGGAGCAACGCCGCGUGAGUGAAGAAGGUUUUCGGAUCGUAAAACUCUGUUGUUAGAGAAGAACAAGUGCUAGAGUAACUGUUAGCGCCUUGACGGUAUCUAACCAGAAAGCCACGGCUAACUACGUGCCAGCAGCCGCGGUAAUACGUAGGUGGCAAGCGUUGUCCGGAUUUAUUGGGCGUAAAGCGAGCGCAGGCGGUUCCUUAAGUCUGAUGUGAAAGCCCCCGGCUCAACCGGGGAGGGUCAUUGGAAACUGGGGAACUUGAGUGCAGAAGAGGAGAGUGGAAUUCCAUGUGUAGCGGUGAAAUGCGUAGAUAUAUGGAGGAACACCAGUGGCGAAGGCGACUCUCUGGUCUGUAACUGACGCUGAGGCUCGAAAGCGUGGGUAGCAAACAGG